AAAGUAUAGCAGAUUUGAUGGGGGGUGUCUUGGGUUCAAGUGGCAAAAUGCAGACUACAAGUGGUGAAGCAACUGAGUUUUCAAGACUCAGUUUCAUCAUAAAAUCAGGAAUGAAAAUAAUGCCUGUGUCACAGAAUUGCGGUCUUUAGGCCGUAAUCACUGCAUUCCUGGGAUCUCAUUCAAUGUUGGCUCGUUCCUGCCUUCUAUACAGCCACUAGCACUUACCUGGAGUUAACUGUGGUCCAGAAGCAGGUGAUCCUCCGUCUGAUACAUGGUCAGAAGGUCCUAACACUACAUCACAACGCCUGUAUCCUUCACCUCACUACCUCUCACGUUAUCAUCUCCCAUCAUCACAAGGAGGCGUGGUCUUAUAUUCUUCGAUGGAGAGGCCACUGAGAAUCUGAUUGCCCUUUAUAAAAAAGAAAACCAUCAUUAGCACUCUGCCUGGAGAGGCUGCUGACAAGAACAAAAUCUGAAGAGAAGCUGCCCAAGACUGGAGGAACAUAACAUGGGAAGAAAAUGAGUGCAGUAAGAGAAGCUUAAGGGAAAACAAAAAUAAAACAAGGGAAAUAAAGAUUCUGCUGCUCUCACUCUCUGCCAGCAGUUGUCGUAUCCCUAAGGAACACAGACAAUGUGAACAGACUCCAGGACCUCUUAUUGUCUUCUCUUUUGGAACCAGAAGCCACCCUGUAUGGGGCACCUGAAUCUUGCCACUGACCUUCCUGUACCAGGCUCAAUCUCUCUCUCUGACCCUCUCAUCAUUUAAACUGCACCAGGGAAACAUUCACUGGUACAUCCCUUUGGGAGAUACUAUACCAGACUCCAUCAGCAUCUAUUUCAACCUUCUACUGGUGAGCCUUCAUUUUUUUGAAGAGUUUAGAAAACUCAAAAAUAUACUUCUCUGCUCCCUUUGUGGCCAGGGUUCUAGCUUAGUUUUGGUUUCUUCAGUGAACUACAGGCAUACUUUGUUUUACUGCAUUUUGCAGACAUUGUGUUUGUCUGUUUUUUUAAACAGUUGAAGAUUAAUGGCAACCCUGCAUCGAGAAAUCUGUCAGCACCAUUUUUUCCUACAGCAUCUGCUCUCUUCAUGUCUCUGUGUCACAUUUUGGAAAUCCCACCUGAGAGGUCAGCUUCUCCCUAUCUCACUAUUUUGAUGCAGAAACCUUUCAGGAUCACAAAAGGCUCAUUACCUCUCCAGUGCCACACAGGGGAGUCUGGGCUUUGGAUCUGGGCUGCCCAGAGUUAGUACUGGCACCAUCACUUACGACCGGGGAGAUCCCGAGCAGGACAACCUAAACCCUCUCAAUCUCAAAUUCCUCACAUUCCACCUGCUAACCAUACCGACCUGAUGGGGCUGCUGUGGACUAAAUACACUUAGUGAACACACACAAAGAACUUCCAACAUGCCAUGUAUGAGACUCCUGUCACAUCUCACAUAGACCUCAUCCGUGUUGUCUCAAGUAAAUUUCAACUCAGAAGGCGAGCCUUUGCUGUAAAUGUAAAGAAAAAUCCCAGAUUUGACUCAAUUGCUUGUUUCAGAAGACCAAAAGGAAACGUGACAGAAUCACAGAAUGUGAACAGAUCUGAAAGGUUCAACUCGGCAGAGGUGAAUAAUGUGCUCAUGUUUUAAAUGGUU